CGCGGGGUAGAGCAGUCUGGUAGCUCGUCGGGCUCAUAACCCGAAGGUCGCAGGUUCAAAUCCUGUCCCCGCAACCA
rnacentral:tRNA from 1 species